rnacentral:rRNA from 1 species
GACGAACGCUGGCGGCGUGCUUAACACAUGCAAGUCGAACGAAGUGGCGAACGGGUGAGUAACGCGUAAUCAACCUGCCCUUCAGAGGGGGACAACAGUUGGAAACGACUGCUAAUACCGCAUACUUAAGGAGGGGAUUGCGUCUGAUUAGCUAGUUGGAGGGGUAACGGCCCACCACGGCGAUGAUCAGUAGCAGGUCUGAGAGGAUGAACGGCAAAAUUGGGACUGAGACAAGGCCCAGAAUCCUACGGGAGGCAGCAGUGGGGAAUCUGCCGCAAUGGAAGAAAGUCUGACGGAGAAACGCCGCGUGAGUGAUGACGGCCUUCGGGUUGUAAAGCUCUGUUAAUCGGGACGCGGUACCGGAAUAGAAAGCCACGGCUAACUACGUGCCAGCAGCCGCGGUAAUAC